rnacentral:lncRNA from 1 species
UGGGUCUCAGGAUGCAGUGAGUAGCUGAUGUCAUGGUUCAGCAGGCUGUCAGUGGCCUGGGACUGUCCUGCAUGACUUUUGCUUCUGCUGUGUUAUCCAGCCUCAAUUCUGCCUACUUUUUAUCCUGCAUGGCUUGGAACUGGAAUCUGUCAUCACUGGCCUCUGCUUGGUGUUUGUUUCAGGAGUCUCAGGGAUUCACACACUUGGACUUUACUUGGCUGCAUCUGCCAAACAAUCUAGUCUGCAUUUUGGUUAGCUGGAGACCAACCAGGAUUUUUCUGAUUAUAUCUUCUUCUGAAAAAAGGAUGCAUGACAUAGAAAGAAGGUCUAAGUGCCUGUCUGAGACUAUUUUACCAAACCUGGGAUAAAUGUUAUUUCUCAAAGGUAUUUGUAAUGCUUUAUUUGUGCAAAUGGUCACCUCAUUUCCUCUUCUGACCACCAGAAACAGGAGGAUGACAAGAGCAAGUGUUAUUCAGC